rnacentral:rRNA from 1 species
AUUGAACGCUGGCGGCAGGCCUAACACAUGCAAGUCGAGCGGCAGCGGGAAAGUAGCUUGCUACUUUUGCCGGCGAACGGCGGACGGGUGAGUAAUGCCUGGGGAUCUGCCCAGUCGAGGGGGAUAACUACUGGAAACGGUAGCUAAUACCGCAUACGCCCUACGGGGGAAAGCAGGGGACCUUCGGGCCUUGCGCGAUUGGAUGAACACAGGUGGGAUUAGCUAGUUGGUGAGGUAGUGGCUCACCAAGGCGACGAUCCCUAGCUGGUCUGAGAGGAUGAUCAGCCACACUGGAACUGAGACACGGUCCAGACUCCUACGGGAGGCAGCAGUGGGGAAUAUUGCACAAUGGGGGAAACCCUGAUGCAGCCAUGCCGCGUGUGUGAAGAAGGCCUUCGGGUUGUAAAGCACUUUCAGCGAGGAGGAAAGGUUGGUAGCUAAUAACUGCCAGCUGUGACGUUACUCGCAGAAGAAGCACCGGCUAACUCCGUGCCAGCCGCCGCAGUAAAAC